CUCUUAUUCAGAGUCGGCGGAGGGACAGACCCUAUGAAGCCCGGCAACCAUCACGUUUUGUGAAAAGGUGCUAAUCUGGUGCAAGGAUCAGUCCUUGAACAAUAAGAG
rnacentral:ncRNA from 1 species